CAUAAGUGUUUCACAAACAUCUCUUGUUUUAACUAAAAAUUAUGUCCAUUUAAUUCAUGUUUGUUUCAUUAUGCAUAGUUACCUGUACUUUUAAAAUGGAUCAUAUAAAUAUCCAAGUAAUUAUUUAAAAAUGUAAUUUUUGUUACAGUAACUUUUGUAUAUGGGAGAUGUCAGGUAUUUCUAUUUGUACAUACAAGGUUUCAAAUUGCUUUAGUUACAAAACCAGUUUAUACUUUGUAUCAAUAUACAUUUGUAAAUACAUGUAGUCAUAAGAAAAAAUAAGUUUUAUUUACCGGUAUUUUUGUUCAAGAAUUUAAGUUGUAAUAUAAUGCAAUUUUAAAUGUUUGCAUGCAGAAUUUUAAAAAAAGUGGCAUUAUAAAUAUUCCAUAGUUAAAAUCAUACUGGAAUGUUCUGAAACUGGAAUUCCUAUACACAGGAACAAAAGAAAAUUCCAGAUAUAUAACCAAAAAUAAAAUGGAAAAUAAAGUUAUGAC
rnacentral:sRNA from 1 species